UACGUAGGGAGCAAGCGUUGUUCGGAUUUACUGGGCGUAAAGGGCGCGUAGGCGGUAGCACAAGUCAGUUGUGAAAUCUCCGGGCUUAACUCGGAAAGGUCAACUGAUACUGUGCGACUAGAGUGCAGAAGGGGCAACUGGAAUUCUCGGUGUAGCGGUGAAAUGCGUAGAUAUCGAGAGGAACACCUGCGGCGAAGGCGGGUUGCUGGGCUGACACUGACGCUGAGGCGCGAAAGCCAGGGGAGCGAACGGG
rnacentral:rRNA from 1 species